GUAUGGAAUCUUGCGCAAUGGGCGAAAGCCUGACGCAGCCAUGCCGCGUGAAUGAUGAAGGUCUUAGGAUUGUAAAAUUCUUUCACCGGGGACGAUAAUGACGGUACCCGGAGAAGAAGCUCCGGCUAACUUCGUGCCAGCAGCCGCGGUAAUACGAAGGGGGCUAGCGUUGCUCGGAAUUACUGGGCGUAAAGGGCGCGUAGGCGGAUAUUUAAGUCGGGGGUGAAAGCCCGGGGCUCAACCUCGGAAUAGCCUUCGAUACUGGAUAUCUUGAGUACGGGAGAGGUGUGUGGAACUCAGAGUGUAGAGGUGAAAUUCGUAGAUAUUCGGAAGAACACCAGUGGCGAAGGCGACUCACUGGCCCAAUACUGACGCUGAGGCGCGAAAGCGUGGGGAGCAAACAGGAUUAGAUACCCUUGUAGUCC
rnacentral:rRNA from 1 species